CUUCGAGUUUGGAGCAGACGGGCUGAACGGUUACGACUCGGACCGAACAUUUCGUGAUAAAUGUGGGACCGUCGGGUAAUACCCACACGAGAUAAUUGCGGUAACGCCCAAACCAAAAGAGGGAAUCCGAGUCAAAUACGAGAACUCUCCUUUGGAGAUUGAAGCAUACGAAGUCAACAUAUCAGAAGGGAACUGCAAUGGAAAACUGCAAGCAAAUGUCCAGUGCGUCUUCAAUGGAUCAAAGGGCGAAAGAGAUACCAGAACCAGCGCUAGGGCAUUAAGCCCGCUUUGCUUGUAUUCCUACGGGGCUUGAGCAUUCACCCUACACAACUCAUUAUUAUGGACCGAUUAGAAGUGAUCAUGAGUCUGCCGAACCUCUCGAGCUGGUCGAACUAGCCCGAAGGGUGCGAUCGUGUGGGUUUGGAUACAUGAUUUCCUUGUCGGGUCCGGUCCUUCCUCCUUACUCGGCGUAAGCCACAUCGAUAUGUAGAAAUUUUGGAAUAUUUCCUUGUUAUGGAUUAUGUCUUUCUCAAA